rnacentral:rRNA from 1 species
UACGUAGGUGGCAAGCGUUGUCCAGAUUUACUGGGCGUAAAGGGCGUGCAGGCGGUCUGUUAAGUCUAGGGUGAAAGCUCCCGGCUCAACUGGGAGAGGUCCUUGGAUACUGGCGGACUUGAGGGAGGCAGAGGAAAGUGGAAUUCCCGGUGUAGUGGUGAUAUGCGUAGAUAUCGGGAGGAACACCAGUGGCGAAGGCGGCUUUCUGGGCCUUACCUGACGCUGAGACGCGAAAGCGUGGGGAGCGAAC